UACGUAGGUGGCAAGCGUUGUCCGGAAUUACUGGGUGUAAAGGGAGCGUAGGCGGGAUUGCAAGUUAAAUGUGAAAUCUAUCGGCUCAACCGGUAGCUGCGUUUAAAACUGUAGUUCUUGAGUGAAGUAGAGGCAGGCGGAAUUCCUAGUGUAGCGGUGAAAUGCGUAGAUAUUAGGAGGAACACCAGUGGCGAAGGCGGCCUGCUGGGCUUUUACUGACGCUGAGGCUCGAAAGUGUGGGUAGCAAACAGG
rnacentral:rRNA from 1 species